rnacentral:rRNA from 1 species
GACGAACGCUGGCGGCGUGCCUAAUACAUGCAAGUCGAGCGCAGGAAACUGACGGAACUCUUCGGAGGGAAGGCAGUGGAAUGAGCGGCGGACGGGUGAGUAACACGUAAGGAACCUGCCUCAAGGAUUGGGAUAACUCCGAGAAAUCGGAGCUAAUACCGGAUAGUUCAACGGACCGCAUGGUCCGCUGAUGAAAGGCGCUUCGGCGUACCCUUGAGAUGGCCUUGCGGUGCAUUAGCUAGUUGGUGGGGUAACGGCCCACCAAGGGCGACGAUGCAUAGCCGACCUGAGAGGGUGAUCGGCCACACUGGGACUGAGACACGGCCCAGACUCCUACGGGAGGCAGCAGUAGGGAAUCUUCCACAAUGGACGAAAGUCUGAUGGAGCAACGCCGCGUGAGUGAUGAAGGUUUUCGGAACGUAAAACUCUGUUGUAAGGGAAGAACACGUACGAGAGGAAAUGCUCGUACCUUGACGGUACCUUACGAGAAAGCCACGGCUAACUACGUGCCAGCAGCCGCCGUAA